rnacentral:rRNA from 1 species
ACGGGUGAGUAACGCGUAUGCAAUCUACCUACAACAGGGGAAUAACCCGUUGAAAGACGGACUAAUGCCCCAUAAUACAGGGGUCCCGCAUGGGAAUAUUUGUUAAAGAUUUAUCGGUUGUAGAUGAGCAUGCGUUCCAUUAGCUGGUUGGUGAGGUAACGGCCCACCAAGGCAACGAUGGAUAGGGGAACUGAGAGGUUUAUCCCCCACACUGGUACUGAGACACGGACCAGACUCCUACGGGAGGCAGCAGUGAGGAAUAUUGGUCAAUGGUCGAGAGACUGAACCAGCCAAAUCCGCGUGAAGGACGACGGCCCUAUGGGUUGUAAACUUCUUUACAGGGGAAUAAAGUGCUCCACGUGUGGUAGUUUUGUAUGUACCCUGUGAAUAAGCAUCGGCUAACUCCGUGCCAGCCGCUGC